GACGAACGCUGGCGGCGUGCUUAACACAUGCAAGUCGAACGAUGAAGCUAGAGCUUGCUCUGGUGAAUUAGUGGCGAACGGGUGAGUAACACGUGAGUAACCUGCCCCGGACUCUGGGAUAACUGCUGGAAACGGUAGCUAAUACUGGAUACGACCAACGAAGGCAUCUUCUGUUGGUGGAAAGAAUUUCGGUUCGGGAUGGACUCGCGGCCUAUCAGCUUGUUGGUGAGGUAACGGCUCACCAAGGCGACGACGGGUAGCCGGCCUGAGAGGGUGAUCGGCCACACUGGGACUGAGACACGGCCCAGACUCCUACGGGAGGCAGCAGUGGGGAAUAUUGCACAAUGGGCGCAAGCCUGAUGCAGCAACGCCGCGUGAGGGACGACGGCCUUCGGGUUGUAAACCUCUUUUAGUAGGGAAGAAGCGAAAGUGACGGUACCUGCAGAAAAAGCACCGGCUAACUACGUGCCAGCCGCCGCGGUAA
rnacentral:rRNA from 1 species